rnacentral:rRNA from 1 species
GACGGAGGGGGCAAGCGUUGUCCGGACUCACUGGGCGUAGAGGGUGCGCAGGCGGUUCUGUGCGUCGGCGCUGAAAGUGCCCGGCUCAACCGGGUGAGGCGCGCCGAUACGAUGGAACUUGAGGCUCGGAGAGGGUGGUGGAACUCCUGGUGUAGUGGUGAAAUGCGUAGAUAUCUGGAGGAAUACCGGUGGCGAAGGCGGCAUCCUGGUUUGAUACUGACGCUGAGGCGCGAAAGCGUGGGGAGCAAACAGG